UAAAACGGUUGGGUAGAUAUGCAUUUGCUGUGUUUUGCACGUUACUCUUAGUUUCGUGGUAUGUCACAACAGUCAUAUUACGCCGAUUGCCAUCAGCCUUGUGGAACUUCGUUCACAAUCCGCGGGCAGCUGCGCGGGCGUUGCGUGCAGCUGUGCGGUCUGCACUCCCUGUUGAUCAGCAGGACGUGACAGAAACCGUGGGUACAGCUUUGCCGGACGCAUCGCCCGCACCGCUGAGGUACAGUCUCCCUGUAGCUUUGGGGGUCGGACUGGCUGUAGCUGAGGGGUACUACUUGCCUGUACAUGUAGGGACCGGAUUGUUUGCAGCUUUGUUUUAUUUUAUACACAGAUUUCAUUCAUCGGUGGCUACAGACCGAGAGUCUGCAGCUGUGACACACGCAUCCCCUGUAGCUUUGCGGAUCGCACUGGCUGUAGUUGCGGGGUACUUCUUGCCUGUAGCUGUAGCGAUCGGAUUGCCUGUAGUUUUGGGGAUUGGAUUGUUUGUAGCUUUCCGUACAGUAAAGAUGGAUUUCUCUUAGCUCUGCAGUCCUUCAGACAAAUAGUGAUGUCCAUGGUGAAAUGUCUUGUCAUAUCGAGGGACAGAUUGCUACCGUGGUUGAGGCAUGCCUUACCUACCAUUCGAAACUUGUCAUUCAUCUGGGAUGUGUCUACAGUAAUUAAAUCGUUCCCUGUGCAGAUUCACAUAUGAGCUGAAGAUUGUCUUUAAAUAACCGUACGCCUUGAAAUCGCCUUGAAAUUACAAAAAGUUUUCAUGAGUGAACCAUCUUCAUCGUGGGAACGUAAUGAGCAUGAAAUUUUCAUUCUACAACACUAAAUGUGUACGGUGGAGGACUUUCACCAAUAGAUAUUUUUGCCUUGUAUUUAAACUGUCAGUCUGGGAAGAAUCUGGUCGUCAGGGUAGUCUGUGAGAUAUUGCUUAAUAUAUUAUUUGUGAUUUUUAGGUUACUGGUAUGUUUUCAGUAGCAUUGCAGAAGAGAUGUUUUCUAUGGUGCAUUUGUUUAACUGUUUCAAAUAUUACAUAAGUUUUACACACAUUAUAAACAAGUUAUAUAUUGUUACCUUCAGCAUGAGACUGUAACUCAUGAUUUGUAUUGAUCUGUACUCAAGUCAAACUAAACAUUUAACAUAAAAUCAAAACAAUGAAAACUCAAGAAAGGUUACAGCUUUUAUACACCUUUAGAUAUGUUGGAAUUAAUUCAACUUGACUGAUUGUUAUAAUGUGAAUGUGUGUAAUAUCUAAUAAAACACACAUUGAUAGUA